GGGGCUAAGCUGGACACCGAAGCGGCGGGAUUUUAAUUCAUUAGAAUCGGUAGGGGAGCUUCCCAUGGGCGGAGAAGCCGGAGGGCGACCGACGGUGGAGCGCAUGGGAGUGAGAAUGCUGGCAUGAGUAGCGAGAGACGAGAGAGUAACUCGUCCGCCGUGAACCCGAGGUUUCCUGGGCAAGGCUAAUCCUCCCAGGGUCAGUCGGGGGCUAAGGCGAGGCCGGUAGGCGUAGCCGACGCGCAGCAGGCAGACAUUCCUGCACCGCGCACGCGGCGCUACGACCGACGGGGCGACGGAUGGGGGUGGCUCGGCGGGGUUCUGGACGUCCCCGUGAUGGAGCGCGGCCCGCGGACCAGGGAAAUCCGGUCCGCACGAAGGGCGAGGCUCCGGACGAAGCACUUAAGCGAAGCGAGUGAGCCCGAGGUCCCUAGAAAAACCCCUAGGCAGGCGCGUGCGCGCCCGUACCGCAAACCGACACAGGUGGGUGGGUAGAACAUACCGAGGCGAUCGGGUCAACCAUGGUCAAGGAACUCGGCACAAUGGCCCCGUAACUUCGGGAGAAGGGGUGCCCGCGCGUACGUGAACGGACUUGCUCCGGGAGCGGAGGCGGGCCGCAGUGGAGAGGCCCAAGCGACUGUUUACCAAAAACACAGGACUCUGCAGAAGCCGCAAGGCGACGUAUAGGGUCUGACGCCUGCCCGGUGCCGGAAGGUCACGCGGAGGAGUUAGCCAUUUCGGCGAAGCCCCGAAGCCAAGCCCCGGUAAACGGCGGCCGUAACUAUAACGGUCCUAAGGUAGCGAAAUUCCUUGUCGGGUAAGUUCCGACCUGCACGAAAGGCGCAACGACUUGGGCGCUGUCUCGACCAUGGACCCGGUGAAAUUGCACUGGUCGUGAAGAUGCGACUUACCCGCGGAAGGACGGAAAGACCCCGUGAACCUUCACUGCAGCUUGGCAUUGGCCGCUGGUCCCGCGUGUAGAGGAUAGGCAGGAGGCACAGAUCCGGAGGCGCCAGCCCCCGGGGAGCCGCCCUUGGAAUACUGCCCUCGCGCGACCGGCGUCCUAACCCGAGGCCGUCAACCGGCUCGGGGACCGUGCCAGGCGGGCAGUUUGACUGGGGCGGUCGCCUCCUAAAGGGUAACGGAGGCGCGCGAAGGUCCGCUCGGGACGGUCGGCAACCGUCCUUUUGAAUGCAAGAGUACAAGCGGGCUUGACUGCGAGGCCCACAAGCCGAGCAGGUGCGAAAGCAGGCUCUAGUGAUCCGGCGGCCCCGAGUGGGUGGGCCGUCGCUCAACGGAUAAAAGGUACUCCGGGGAUA
rnacentral:rRNA from 1 species